rnacentral:rRNA from 1 species
GAUGGGUGCUAGGUGUUGGUGGGUAAGACCCAUCAGUGCCGUAGCUAACGCAAUAAGCACCCCGCCUGGGGAGUACGGCCGCAAGGUUGAAACUCAAAGGGAUUGACGGGGGCCCGCACAAGCGGUGGAGCAUGUGGUUUAAUUCGACGCAACGCGAAGAACCUUACCAGGGCUUGACAUGCCGGUGGUACUGAGCCGAAAGGUGAGGGACCCUUAGGCGAUGAGUUUAAGGGAGCCGGCACAGGUGGUGCAUGGUUGUCGUCAGCUCGUGUCGUGAGAUGUUGGGUUAAGUCCCGCAACGAGCGCAACCCCUGCCCCUAGUUGCCAGCGGGUGGAGCCGGGCACUCUAGGGGGACUGCCGUUGACGAAACGGAGGAAGGUGGGGAUGACGUCAAAUCAUCAUGCCCUUUAUGCCCUGGGCUACACACGUGCUACAAUGGCCGGUACAGAGGGUUGCGAACCCGCGAGGGGGAGCGAAUCCCAGAAAGCCGGUCUCAGUUCGGAUUGCAGGCUGCAACUCGCCUGCAUGAAGGCGGAAUCGCUAGUAAUCGCCGGUCAGCAUACGGCGGUGAAUACGUUCCCGGGCCUUGUACACACCGCCCGUCACACCACGAAAGCCGACAACACCCGAAGCCGGUGGAGCUAACCGCCGUGGAGGUGGGGGCAGCCGUCGAAGGUGGGGUCGGUGAUUGGGUUAAGUCGUAAC